CGGGAUCAGAAUUUCAAGGUGUCUGGUAGCCCAUUUUCAUGGAGCCAGAAGGGGGCAGGCCGGCUGCUGGCGGAGAAGAGUCAUCCAUGGUCUUAUCCGGUUGUGACUGCAGGGGCUUGAUAUCAACCUGCCAGGCAUGAUGCGAGCUCAGGUGCAAUGGUGGCGGGACUGAUAGGAGGAUAACUAGCUGCUUUCUGAUUGAGUUCGAAGCCCACCCCGCAGUAGGAAAAUUACGACUGGUUCCCAUAAACCUGGACCUGAGCGCUACCAUGACACUGACGCCAAGCUCCCAGUGCUCCCAGCAGCGCCAGCCCACCAGCGUGCUGGUUCUUCCUCAGCUUUUCUGUGUUCGCGGUGGCGCCUCCUUCCUUGUGUGUUCAGCUGUACGGUUUACAUGGAUUUGAGAAACCCGCAGUUAAAGCAGCCUUUCUGGAA
rnacentral:sRNA from 1 species